ACCUUUAAAAGCUCUGUAAAUGUGGGGAUUUCAACAGGUGUUGCUUGCUACCAACCAGGUAACACAACCCUUGCUGAAAUUUCCUUUUCUGUGCAACAUUAAAGGUAUCAGAGCCCUCUCCUGUUUUCACUCUGACAACUUUUACAAGAAUUGUUGUAACAUUCAAGACAGAGUCAGACCAGCUGUGAGUAAUAUUUAUCUGCCAAAUGUUUUGCACAUUGGGUGCAGCCAGCUGGCAAGAGGCCACCCAUCUCCUCAGCCUUCAGCCAUCCAAAGUGCGGAGUAGAAUAUCCUCCAGCUCAUUCACUCCAGGGCCAGUGUGUGAUAAUCCAGGCUGUGUUUCCAAGACCAGGCUGCACCUUCUUCUUGGUGGUCCCUGGGGACUAUUGUCUAAGCACACUUCCCGUUCCCCAUCUGAGGAGGCCUCCUCCAGGUAGGACAUGACACCGUCAUUCAUUCAUAAUGAACUAGGGCAGAUAUAUUGAAUUGGAUUAUCUGAGGAUCCUUCCCCACAGCUAUAUAACCCAAAAUAUCAAGGCAGAUAAUUCACAAUAUCUGUUUUGAAUUGGUUUAUCUGAGUCCACACUGCCCUAUAAUCCAGUUCAAUGUGGAUUUCAUACAGCUAUGUGGAAGGGGCCUGAGUCUACACUGCCAGAUAAUCCAGUUCAAAGCAGAUAAUCUGAAUUUUAUACAGCUGUGUAGAAGGGACCCUAGACAACCUGACUUGUAACAAUAUAUAAUUUCUGCAUCAAGAAAAAUUCAAAACUAUAACUAAUGAACAUUUUGCUGUGUGUGUUAAUGUGGAUGCACCUUGUAGCACCUUGAAGACUAACAGAGAUAAGUUUCUAGCACAAGCUUUUGUAGACUAAGGGUGCAUCUACACCACACAUGUCAAUUACAAGGCCUGUGGGCCAAAAUCAGCCUACCAUAUCAUUUUAUGUGAUCCACAAGACUUUCAAUGCCAGGUCAACAUAGUUACAUGUAUACAGUCUUACAAUUAUAAACAGCCCUUUGAUGGCAACCAUAAGGCUGAUGUGGCCCUUGGUGAAAAUGAGUUGACAUCCUGAUCUACACUGUAGAAUUAAUGCAGUGUGGCCCCACUUAAACUAUCAUAGUUCUCGCAGAAGCAGAGGCAGCAGGAGGACAUUUUUGCUCCCUGGCUUCAGGUAGGAUUUGGCUAAGAUUUGGCUAAGAUUUUAAACUGAGUGUGGGCUUGGCUCCUGUGGUCAAAGUCUAACUGUUGUGUGACUGUUGUGUUGAAAGAGAGCCAGGUACUUAAGUUGAUUGACAGCAGGCAUUGUCCCCUGUUAAUUGAGUUUCUGGGAAAGCUUUAUUUGCCAGUGUCGCGCGCGCCGUCAGGCACCUUUACUAACUAUCCUUUGCAGUACAUACAGGAAACAAAGCAACAUAAACAAAUACACAAAGAGGUGGUUUGUUGCAGUCUGCACAUAAAGUGCAUGCAUAUUACUUAACUGUACAAAAUCCCACUUG
rnacentral:lncRNA from 1 species